rnacentral:rRNA from 1 species
CGAACGCUGGCGGCAGGCCUAACACAUGCAAGUCGAGCGCACCCUUCGGGGCGAGCGGCGGACGGGUUAGUAACGCGUGAGUAACCUGCCCCAUACACAGGGAUAGCCAUUGGAAACGAUGAUUAAUACCUGAUAACACAUUCGGAUCACAUGUUCUGAAUGUCAAAGAUUUAUCGGUAUGGGAUGGACUCGCGUCUGAUUAGCUAGUUGGUAAGGUAACGGCUUACCAAGGCGACGAUCAGUAGCCGACCUGAGAGGGUGAUC